GAGUUUGAUUAUGGCUCAGGAUGAACGCUGACAGAAUGCUUAACACAUGCAAGUCAACUUGAACUUCGGUUUGGGUGGCGGACGGGUGAGUAACGCGUAAAGAACUUGCCUCACAGUCUGGGACAACAUCUGGAAACGGAUGCUAAAACUGGAUAUUAUGAACUAUGCGCAUGCAUGGAUUAUGAAAGCUAUAUGCGCUGUGAGAGAGCUUUGCGUCCCAUUAGCUAGUUGGAGAGGUAACGGCUCACCAAGGCGAUGAUGGGUAGCCGGCCUGAGAGGGUGAACGGCCACAAGGGGACUGAGACACGGCCCUUACUCCUACGGGAGGCAGCAGUGGGGAAUAUUGGACAAUGGACCAAGAGUCUGAUCCAGCAAUUCUGUGUGCGACGAUGAAGUUUUUCGGAAUGUAAAGUGCUUUCAGUUGGGAAGAAGAAAGU
rnacentral:rRNA from 1 species